rnacentral:rRNA from 1 species
CAGCUAGUUGGUAGGGUAAUGGCCUACCAAGGCGAAGACGGGUAGCUGGUCUGAGAGGAUGAUCAGCCACACUGGAACUGAGACACGGUCCAGACUCCUACGGGAGGCAGCAGUGGGGAAUCUUGCGCAAUGGGCGAAAGCCUGACGCAGCGACGCCGCGUGAGUGAUGAAGGCCUUCGGGUUGUAAAGCUCUGUGGAGGGGGACGAAUAAGGGUUGGCUAAUAUCCAACUUGAUGACGGUACCCUUUUAGCAAGCACCGGCUAACUCUGUGCCAGCAGCCGCGGUAAGACAGAGGGUGCAAACGUUGUUCGGAAUUACUGGGCGUAAAGCGCGUGUAGGCCGCUCUGCAAGUCGGAUGUGAAAGCCCUGGGCUCAACCUAGGAAGUGCAUUCGAAACUGCAAAGCUGGAGUCCUGGAGAGGAAAGCGGAAUUCUCGGUGUAGAGGUGAAAUUCGUAGAUAUCGAGAGGAACACCGGUGGCGAAGGCGGCUUUCUGGACAGUGACUGACCC